GCUGCAUUUCCAAACCUCAAAUCGAGAACCUUGGUUAAGCUAUAAGUAUUUUAUAUUUUGUUAAGGAAAAAUCUAGUGGGACGAAAACAAAAAUAAAGUAAUACAUAAGAGAUGUUGAACAUGCUUAAAAACUGUCUUAAUAAAAAUCUUUAUUAGUAAAAACUAAAUAGAAGUAUCUGAUUUUGAACCGCUUCAAAGGACUUAUGCCAUAUUUAAGGUAUAUACCUCCACAUGAGGUCUUUCAAAACUUUUCGGUCUCAUCAAAGACCAGAAACAUUUUAUUGUUGUCCUAAGUAAAUUCAGGAGAAUGAUAUAUUUCCUUUCGAGAAAACAAUAUCAGUAAACCGAUAUCUCUACCCCGCUAAUAGACAAUUCAUCGCCUGCCAUUUAAAUAGAUUGUUCAAUAAGAGCAACUACUCGGUUAGAGUUUAUUUCGCAAUUGGCAUACAUGGACUUGGGUUCUCUAAAUGCAACUGUAGCUGCAUCUAGCCAGUGUUUGUAAUUCUCCACAAAUGAUCCUCAAAACUUUAUAUUUAAUCCGAGUGGUGCAGGAAUCAAGACGGGUCAUAUACAUCACAUGCCAUGAAUGUUCUCACCUAACAUCAUGAGGCCGCUUUUUCUCACUCUUGAUGAAGACCUUUGUCUCAUUGAAUGAGACGUAUGGUGAACAGAUCACUAGUUAUGCGCCCAAGAUACUGGAUGAUAUAUGGUGAGUUAAUAAAACUCGGAUAAAUUUCUCAAACGAUACUAGAUUCUAUCUCAUUGUACUGCAAGAGUGCAACCGGCACUUAUAUAUCGCAACAAAAAGUGUGUAAAUGAAAAAUAUUAGGUUGAUGAACCGUUAUCAAUUGCAAUGAUGAUGAACAAAAAGUGUAUUCAAGAAUUUCUCAUCACCGCGAUAUCAAUAAUGAUUUCUUGAAGAACGUGAUCACAAUUAUGAUUUUAACCGUGAUCUUUAGCAUGACUGUAACCUUGCCAUGUCAGUGAUUCUCGCCACGCUUCUGUCUAAAAGCAUUUUGCUUUAGAAACCGGUGCCAAUCAAGUUAACGAGCUCAAUAUACUUACAGCAGAAUCGUGUUUGAAGCAUGAAAUGUUGAGCAUGUUUUCUUGAACACAUCUUCAUUGGUGAUUUUCUUUCCACAUAUCUUCAAAAGUGUUGCGAUUUUGUCAAGCGCAGAGUUUUAAUGAUUGAUUAACUUGAAAUCUUGUAGUCGAAAUUGAUUUCACUUGCUGCAAGCUUUUCAGAAGAAUUAUUAAUUUCAGGUAGCCAUAUCUCUAAAAUUUGUAUAA
rnacentral:lncRNA from 1 species